rnacentral:piRNA from 2 species
UCAGGGUACCUUGCUUUGAGUUCCUGC